AACCGGUAAUUAGCGGCUCCUAAUUACGCGAUUAACAAACGUUUAAGGCGAUGAUAAAUGGUAUUUAAGGCACAAAUUAACUUAAUUAGGCUAUUGGAAUGCCUAGGAACGCCUAUUCGACUUUACAUUACGCGAAUGAUACUCUGUGGAAAAAUCUGCUAAAUAUUAAAUGGAAACAAACUGAUACCGUACAAAAUACUAACAACGCCGAUAAAUACAAAUUUUAUACAUAUGAUAUUUACAUAUGAACUUGGUUUUACGGAUUCAUUGCGCUUUCGAAUGUCACAAAACGCGACCAUGAACGAAAAACGCGAUAGUAAGAACGCACCGACAACGAAACGAAAGCAUCCGACACGUGUAUUAACUUGAAAACUGAAAUAUUUUGAUAUAUUUAGCUUCGCUUUCGAAUUCUAAUGCUCGCAGUUGACAACAGAUCGAGAACGGAUUUAAAAACGACGAACUACUUGGUUUAUGGGAUUUAACGCGACUGUCGAGCAUACGCGCCUAUUAAUGACUUACAACGUAAAUUAUAAGCGCAUUCGACCCUAAAAUAAUAUUCUACGACAUUUUUCAACGAUCGUGUUCGAAAAUGGGCUUCGUAGAUGUAUCGGGCCACCUAAACACGGGGAUUGGGCUUGUGGGCCUUGGGCCCAAGCCCAAAACCCACUAAACUAACUCUAGUAUAAAUAACAAGUGAUACCCUAAAUCAUUCUCAUUGUUCAGCCGCAUACCUUAUCUUUUUAUCCCUUUUUCUCUCAAACUCAACACCAGACACAUACAAACACAGAGAAGUCAUCUCCUCCAUGAAGAACCCUAAGCAUACUACAUGAUUUAAGUUUAAAUCUUCUGAUGAAAGCUGAUCCUUUACACCAAAUUUCCAAAACAUCUUUCUUUCUUUUAUAUUAGCAGCCGACCCCCUCCCCUCAUCAUCACCGUCAUCUGUUCUGGCGUCGGGGUUGGAGGUGCCGGCCGGCUUCCGGUGAACCCUCACACACACGGCGACGGUACGGAGAGGCGGAGAGAGAGAGAUGAUGCAAGAGAGAGAAAGAGUUCGGGAGAGAGACACGGCGGAGCAAACCAGCAGCGACGCCGCCUAGAGCGGCGGUGGUUGUUUCCAGCAACGAUACCCCUAAACCACCAUCUUUUCCCUCUCAAACAGACGCCGACAACUCCCCUUUCCGGUGGUUUUUCCGACGAGGCAACCCCCCCCGCUCCGGCGACUCGGAUUUGCAACAAAAAUGGCUGGAGUGUGAAGAUUGCACACCUGAAACAACACAUGAGCUCCGAUAUGGUUUUUCCGGUGACUCACUUUCGACAUAAUCGGUGGGUUAUCUUUUCAGGUGUAUUCGUACAUUUAUAUAUUUAUUUUUAUUUUAACCUGAUUCGUUGGUAUUUCUGAUGAUUGGUGACGAUGAUGAUGCUUAACGGCUGAAGUGGUGGCGGUGACGCAGCUGUGACCGGCAACGGCGGUGAUGGUGACGAUUGUUACGUUUUUUUUUUCGGUUCAGUCUUGUUGUUUUUUUUUUUUGAGCAUCUGAGGUCACGAAAUAUGCAGGUUAUUUCGGGUCAAAGCUAGUCAACGUGGUCAACGGUCAGAUCUGGAGCGCAAGUAUACUGAGACAACUUCUACUGGUUGUGCACGAGACGUUCGGUGAAGUAUAAACGUUGCAUUUUUCAAAACUACGGAACGGUUGGUAUAGGAGAACCCACGGGAUUUCGAGUACUUAGCGGCGUUCUUUUUCUAGAAGUCUUAGCUUAUUUGCUUCCGCUGUGCAAUGAAGAUACCGGUCCAGUCACGCCAAGCUCUGAUAUUUCGGGGUGUGACAGAUUGGUAUCAGAGCUAUAGGUUUCAGCGAAUUAGGUUUCUGUAGAGAUACCUAGGCUCUAACCUCACUAUCCUCUGGGGACUUGGAUUAUUAAGACUUGAACACAUACAGAACGCCUAGGACUCGAAUAUGGGUUCGAACCGUUGCCGAAAACAAUGAGUCAAACAAUUUUGAUUUUAAACAAGCACAAAUGUUGUGUCGAUACACAGUACACGAAACAAUUACAUACAAUAAGCAAAACCUUGAGAUUUUUGAUAACAUGCAUUUAGGACUUUUGUAAAGCUUACGUCGAAACUCAUUAAAGGUCCUCACUUAGAAACCAUGACUAACAACUCGGGCAAACGCUAUUAUAUUUUAUCGUCUGUGCUAUUUUAUUUACCCUAGCAGGUAAUCUACGUGAAAAAAAAACGCUAGUGCGCGAGUGCACAUGAAGCUUAAACUAUACGUCAGCGGACGUCGAAGUAUAUCACACACGACUUUCGAGGCAAGGCCUCCGGGAAAACACAAAUGGACACGACAACAAUGAUGCUAAUCUCGUCAGCGGGAGAAAAUUUCACAACAGUCGAUACUUAGUCUGAAGAGACUCACAAUUGUUGGCGCUGCAAAAGAAGUCACACGUCUUCGCAUUCCCCCUAUUUCAUUUAUGGUGAUUACGCUAUGUUCGACAUUCCAUGGUAAGGUCAACUAACAAACGGUUAUCACGCGAAAUUCCAGGUAAAGUCCAUAAGUUUCUUUUGUGGAAAUUCUGACUUUUGCAUAUAGUGAGUAGAUUUUCGUAUUUCUACUCCCCCCUAAUGAUCAUUGCAUCACGAAAAUUUUCUUUCAUAAUAGCGAAUACUCAUUUGCUUCAUUCUUGACGAAUUCAUAUGUUACACCUGCGUUUGUUACGCAUGUGGCUUCACUUGAAAUUGUUGCAUUAUCAAGUUCAAAUAUUAUUUCUCUAUACUCACUCCUUUCAUUGUGAUCUAGAUAAACCACAUUAUUGCAUAAUGUUGACUCUUUGAUAUCGAGUCAACGAAACUCGUUGAAACUCUUUUCUUUUCAAGCCACAUACAUGGUUUUCGUUGUAACCAUUUCGAAAUCUUCUGGUUGAUACAUGUAUCCAUUGUUGGACUGUUUUAAACCAAGUUCAAUCGUUUGAACUUGCUCGUAAUAUACAUUCAAUUCAGGGUUCCAUAUGAUGGAUUGAGGCCAUCAUAUCCAACUUAAUCCCAAUAAGCACUUCAUUGGUUUGAACUAUAACAUGCUUGUUCGGUCUUUGACUUUAUUGAAUCGUUUCUUUGAUCACGAUCACCUUGUGGUGGCGUCUUUCACAAGUUUGAAGCUUGCGCUAAUCUCGUGCUCACAUCAUGUAAGGAUUUAAUUAUUUAUUUAUUUGUUUUUUUUGAUAUUAAAUCCGCUUUGUUGAUUAUCAUAUUAAAGCAAUCUUAACACAAUCGUGUGUUAAGAUAAUGGUACACCAAUUUAUGUCAUAUUUCGGUGUAUCUCUUAACGGUUCUUUCAGCAUCGAUCGAACAUUUUGUGAUAUUCAUUGCUCUUUCAUUGUCGAUUGAACACAUUAUUUAUUUGUUGUUUCAUUUUCAGUUGGAAAUCCUAUAAGAUUUGUUUGGAACAAAUUUUCAAAUUUACUUCGUUGAGCCUUCAUCUGAUUUCAAACACGGUGAUAUUUGUUUGAUCAGCGCUAUUAUUGAAUUAUUUCAAUUACUACGACACCUUGUGGUGUCGGUAUAAACUUGUAGCUUGGGCUAAUCAUAAUCGAGUGUUUCACGCAAAACACAGGUGAUACUUGUUCGGUCACCGCUAUUAUUGAAUUGUUUCAUUCACUACGACACCUUGUGGCGUCAAUAUAAACUUGAAGCUUGUGCUAAUCACGAUCAGCCGUCUCAUGCGAAACUAUGUAUACUCUUCGUUUGAUUCAUCAUUUAAAUAGUCUUAAUGCAACUAUGUAUUAAGAUGAUGAUACACCAGGUUCGGUUGUAUUUCAUUUCGGUGUAUCCUUGCAACUCAACAAUGACAACACGUUGAUUUUAUCUUAUUCAUUUAUUGGUUCAAUAGUUGACAAAUCAUUUUUAUGAUUCUACUUAUUUGAGUUUGUUGAAUUCGAGUUUCACUUAUACAACAACCAACGUUAGAUUCCGUUGGUAGUAAAUUCUAUUGUUUCAAAAAAUGAUUUGCAGUUAGCAAACGUUCAUUUGGAAUUCCACUGGUUGAAUUUCCUCUUUUGUUGAUCCCGGUAAACCUAGUCACAUUGGUGAUAGUAUCACAACAUCUCGUUCACUUGACAUCGAUUUCUAGAACAAAAUCAGUUAAACCAUCGGGUUCAUAUUGAUGCAAGAUGUUCUUGCAAUCACGUAAUCUGAACAAGUUUUGGUUCGAUUACACCGUCAUUCACAUUGGUAUUAUCGGGACUUACCUAGGAAUAACACAACCCUGAGGAGAUAACAUAGACUAAAUUUCGAGGACGAAAUUUCUGCAACAGGGGGAGAAUGUGACAACCGGUAAUUAGCGGCUCCUAAUUACGCGAUUAACAAACGUUUAAGGCGAUGAUAAAUGGUAUUUAAGGCACAAAUUAACUUAAUUAGGCUAUUGGAAUGCCUAGGAACGCCUAUUCGACUUUACAUUACGCGAAUGAUACUCUGUGGAAAAAUCUGCUAAAUAUUAAAUGGAAACAAACUGAUACCGUACAAAAUACUAACAACGCCGAUAAAUACAAAUUUUAUACAUAUGAUAUUUACAUAUGAACUUGGUUUUACGGAUUCAUUGCGCUUUCGAAUGUCACAAAACGCGACCAUGAACGAAAAACGCGAUAGUAAGAACGCACCGACAACGAAACGAAAGCAUCCGACACGUGUAUUAACUUGAAAACUGAAAUAUUUUGAUAUAUUUAGCUUCGCUUUCGAAUUCUAAUGCUCGCAGUUGACAACAGAUCGAGAACGGAUUUAAAAACGACGAACUACUUGGUUUAUGGGAUUUAACGCGACUGUCGAGCAUACGCGCCUAUUAAUGACUUACAACGUAAAUUAUAAGCGCAUUCGACCCUAAAAUAAUAUUCUACGACAUUUUUCAACGAUCGUGUUCGAAAAUGGGCUUCGUAGAUGUAUCGGGCCACCUAAACACGGGGAUUGGGCUUGUGGGCCUUGGGCCCAAGCCCAAAACCCACUAAACUAACUCUAGUAUAAAUAACAAGUGAUACCCUAAAUCAUUCUCAUUGUUCAGCCGCAUACCUUAUCUUUUUAUCCCUUUUUCUCUCAAACUCAACACCAGACACAUACAAACACAGAGAAGUCAUCUCCUCCAUGAAGAACCCUAAGCAUACUACAUGAUUUAAGUUUAAAUCUUCUGAUGAAAGCUGAUCCUUUACACCAAAUUUCCAAAACAUCUUUCUUUCUUUUAAAUUAGCAGCCGACCCCCUCCCCUCAUCAUCACCGUCAUCUGUUCUGGCGUCGGGGUUGGAGGUGCCGGCCGGCUUCCGGUGAACCCUCACACACACGGCGACGGUACGGAGAGGUGGAGAGAGAGAGAUGAUGCAAGAGAGAGAAAGAGUUCGGGAGAGAGACACGGCGGAGCAAACCAGCAGCGACGCCGCCUAGAGCGGCGGUGGUUGUUUCCAGCAACGAUACCCCUAAACCACCAUCUUUUCCCUCUCAAACAGACGCCGACAACUCCCCUUUCCGGUGGUUUUUCCGACGAGGCACCCCCCCCCCCGCUCCGGCGACUCGGAUUUGCAACAAAAAUGGCUGGAGUGUGAAGAUUGCACACCUGAAACAACACAUGAGCUCCGAUAUGGUUUUUCCGGUGACUCACUUUCGACAUAAUCGGUGGGUUAUCUUUUCAGGUGUAUUCGUACAUUUAUAUAUUUAUUUUUAUUUUAACCUGAUUCGUUGGUAUUUCUGAUGAUUGGUGACGAUGAUGAUGCUUAACGGCUGAAGUGGUGGCGGUGACGCAGCUGUGACCGGCAACGGCGGUGAUGGUGACGAUUGUUACGUUUUUUUUUUCGGUUCAGUCUUGUUGUUUUUUUUUUUGAGCAUCUGAGGUCACGAAAUAUGCAGGUUAUUUCGGGUCAAAGCUAGUCAACGUGGUCAACGGUCAGAUCUGGAGCGCAAGUAUACUGAGACAACUUCUACUGGUUGUGCACGAGACGUUCGGUGAAGUAUAAACAUAGGGCACAAGGAAGUCGGUUAGUCCAAGUUCGAGCCUUGGUGGGUAGCACUAUCACGGUUAAUCCUAGGUUGCAUUUUUCAAAACUACGGAACGGUUGGUAUAGGAGAACCCACGGGAUUUCGAGUACUUAGCGGCGUUCUUUUUCUAGAAGUCUUAGCUUAUUUGCUUCCGCUGUGCAAUGAAGAUACCGGUCCAGUCACGCCAAGCUCUGAUAUUUCGGGGUGUGACAUAAACUGACGUAUUUUCCAAAAGGCUAAAGUGCAGGUACUAGGCGGAAUAGGCUGGCUACUCCUGAGUGAAUAAAUAAGAGUCUUGCAAACCUUAUCACUUAAAGAUCUGUUGAACAAUGUUUCUUUUAUACUUCUGAUCUGCCUGUGGAUCUCUUACAACCGUUUUGUAAUAAUUGAUAUUACUUUUAUUCGGUUUGUAAUAUUUUAUCUUUCGAUU